rnacentral:rRNA from 1 species
UUGCUUCUCUUGAGAGCGGCGGACGGGUGAGUAAUGCCUAGGAAUCUGCCUGGUAGUGGGGGAUAACGUCCGGAAACGGACGCUAAUACCGCAUACGUCCUACGGGAGAAAGUAGGGGACCUUCGGGCCUUGCGCUAUCAGAUGAGCCUAGGUCGGAUUAGCUAGUUGGUGGGGUAAUGGCUCACCAAGGCGACGAUCCGUAACUGGUCUGAGAGGAUGAUCAGUCACACUGGAACUGAGACACGGUCCAGACUCCUACGGGAGGCAGCAGUGGGGAAUAUUGGACAAUGGGCGAAAGCCUGAUCCAGCCAUGCCGCGUGUGUGAAGAAGGUCUUCGGAUUGUAAAGCACUUUAAGUUGGGAGGAAGGGCAGUAAAUUAAUACUUUGCUGUUUUGACGUUACCGACAGAAUAAGCACCGGCUAACUCUGUGCCAGCAGCCGCGGUAAUACAGAGGGUGCAAGCGUUAAUCGGAAUUACUGGGCGUAAAGCGCGCGUAGGUGGUUCGUUAAGUUGGAUGUGAAAUCCCCGGGCUCAACCUGGGAACUGCAUUCAAAACUGACGAGCUAGAGUAUGGUAGAGGGUGGUGGAAUUUCCUGUGUAGCGGUGAAAUGCGUAGAUAUA